AGGACAACAGCCACCUCCCAGAACCUUAUCCUCUGCAAACCUUCUCCUCCAGGUUAUUGACAUUCAAGGCAUUUGCCCAGCUCUUCAUCUUGGGGAGCUCCCGGGUGUUGGGCAUUUUCCAGAUUGGACCCUUGGCUGGUAUCAUGGCCUACCUGUUCACCAUCAUCAACAGCCUGCAGGGGGCCUUCAUCUUCCUCAUUCACUGUCUGCUCAACCGCCGGGUACGGGAAGAUUACAGAAGAUGGAUUACCAGGAAGACCACACCCAGAUCCCAGUCCCAGACAUCAGGGGUCAUACUGACAUCCUUUGCCUUCACUUCCAAAAUGGGUUAAAGCUCUUUCUUGCUUUCAAAUACGCUAUGAAGCAACAUUUGAGGACAGCAGGUGCCGGCAGGAGCUGACGCUGAAAUCUUCUCUUCAUGGCUUAAUGUGGAAUUGCAGAUCUCACCAGCCCCAGGACUCUCUGGGUGAUUCAGAGCACUGAUGGGUGGGGCGUUCUUCCCACGUUCCAUGCACUGGUGAGAAACAAGACUUUCUGUUCCAGAUUAAGAUUUUAUCUUCUAUGUUCUGCAACCCUUUGAAUUUCCAGAGUUUUGAGGAAAUAAUAGAUCCUAGUGCAAUGGCAUGACCAAGAACAUCUGGCUACCGUUUUGUUUUCUCCUAAGUUCUUUGGCGUGUGGCUG